ACGGAGCGAUUCUUAUCGCGCUGGGGUUAUCCUGGUACGGUUGGCAUCGUGCGGAUGCCCUGUUUGCGUUAGGUAUCGGCAUCUAUAUUUUGUAUAGCGCGUUGCGUAUGGGGUAUGAGGCGGUGCAGUCAUUAUUGGAUCGCGCGCUGCCCGAUGCGGAACGACAGGAAAUUAUUGAUAUCGUGACGUCAUGGCCGGGAGUCAGCGGCGCGCACGAUCUCCGCACGCGGCAGUCAGGGCCGACUCGCUUUAUUCAGAUUCAUUUGGAAAUGGAAGAUAAUCUGCCGCUCGUUCAGGCGCAUUUUGUGGCUGACCAGGUAGAGCAGGCGAUUUUACAGCGUUUUCCGGGUUCAGAUGUCAUUAUUCAUCAGGAUCCCUGUUCAGUCGUUCCCAGGGAAGGCAGGAAGUUCGAGCUUGUAUAAUUGAUUGUUAAAAAGUGAGCCAGGCCAGCAUUUUGUGUAUAAAUUACCGCCAUUUGGCCUGACCUGAAUCAAUUCAGCAGGAAGGGAUUGUUAUACUAUCUGUAUAUUCGUUGGAUCGUUUCGAAGUGCGAAAUCGGCUUCCGGCAAUAGAUUUCAUUUUGCAUUCCAAAGUUCAGAGGUAGUCAUGAUUAAGAAAAUCGGUGUGUUGACAAGCGGCGGUGAUGCGCCGGGCAUGAACGCGGCAAUCCGCGGUGUUGUGCGCGCAGCGUUGACGGAAGGGCUGGAAGUCAUGGGCAUUUAUGACGGCUAUCUGGGCCUGUAUGAAGAUCGUAUGGUUCAGCUUGACCGUUACAGCGUAUCUGACAUGAUCAACCGUGGCGGUACUUUCCUCGGUUCUGCCCGUUUCCCGGAAUUCCGUGACGAAAAUAUUCGCGCUGUCGCGAUCGAAAACCUGAAAAAACGCGGUAUCGAUGCGCUGGUAGUUAUUGGCGGCGACGGUUCUUAUAUGGGUGCAAAACGUCUGACUGAAAUGGGCUUCCCGUGCAUCGGUCUGCCAGGCACUAUCGAUAACGACAUCAAAGGCACCGACUACACUAUCGGCUAUUUCACUGCUCUCGGCACUGUAGUGGAAGCGAUUGACCGUCUGCGUGACACCUCCUCUUCUCACCAGCGUAUCUCUAUCGUUGAGGUGAUGGGCCGUUAUUGCGGCGACCUGACGUUGGCGGCGGCUAUUGCUGGCGGCUGUGAGUUUAUCGUGGUGCCGGAAGUUGAAUUUAAUCGCGAAGAUCUGGUGGCCGAAAUCAAAGCCGGGAUCGCGAAAGGGAAAAAACACGCUAUCGUCGCUAUUACUGAGCAUAUGUGCGAUGUUGACGAACUGGCGCACUUUAUUGAAAAAGAAACGGGCCGUGAGACGCGUGCGACGGUGCUCGGCCACAUUCAGCGCGGUGGUUCCCCGGUACCUUACGAUCGCAUUCUGGCUUCCCGUAUGGGCGCGUAUGCUAUUGACCUGCUGCUGGAAGGCCAUGGCGGUCGUUGUGUCGGUAUCCAGAACGAGCAGCUUGUUCAUCAUGACAUCAUCGAUGCGAUUGAAAACAUGAAGCGUCCGUUCAAAAGCGACUGG
rnacentral:rRNA from 1 species